ACCUGGUUGGCUGAGUCGGUUGAGCAUCUGACUUCAGCUCAGGUCACAGUUUGUAAGUUCAAGCCCUAUAUCAGGCU
rnacentral:tRNA from 1 species